rnacentral:rRNA from 1 species
UACGGAGGGUGCGAGCGUUGUCCGGAAUCAUUGGGCGUAAAGGGCGCGUAGGUGGCCCCUCAAGCGUGCGGUGAAAGUCAGGGGCUCAACCCCUGAUCGGCCGUGCGAACUGGGGAGCUUGAGCACUGUAGAGGCAGGCGGGAUUCCGGGUGUAGCGGUGGAAUGCGUAGAGAUCCGGAAGAACACCGGUGGCGAAGGCGGCCUGCUGGGCAGUUUUGCUGACACUGAGGCGCGACAGCGUGGGGAGCAAACAGG